UGCGUAGGGCGCAAGCGUUAUCCGGAAUUAUUGGGCGUAAAGAGCUCGUAGGCGGUCUGUCGCGUCGGUCGUGAAAACCUGCAGCUUAACUGUGGGCGUGCGGUCGAUACGGGCAUGACUGGAGUUCGGCAGGGGAGACUGGAAUUCCUGGUGUAGCGGUGAAAUGCGCAGAUAUCAGGAGGAACACCGGUGGCGAAGGCGGGUCUCUGGGCCGAUACUGACGCUGAGGAGCGAAAGCGUGGGGAGCAAACAGG
rnacentral:rRNA from 1 species